AGCGAACGCUGGCGGCAGGCCUAACACAUGCAAGUCGAACGAAGUCUUCGGACUUAGUGGCGGACGGGUGAGUAACACGUGGGAACGUACCUUUUGGUUCGGAACAACUCAGGGAAACUUGAGCUAAUACCGGAUGAGUCCUUAGGGGGAAAGAUUUAUCGCCGAAAGAGCGGCCCGCGUUAGAUUAGCUAGUUGGUGAGGUAAAGGCUCACCAAGGCGACGAUCUAUAGCUGGUCUGAGAGGAUGAUCAGCCACACUGCGACUGAGACACGGCCCAGACUACUACGGGAGGCAGCAGUGGGGAAUCUUGCGCAAUGGGCGAAAGCCUGACGCAGCCAUGCCGCGUGAAUGAUGAAGGUCUUAGGAUUGUAAAAUUCUUUUACCAGGGACGAUAAUGACGGUACCUGGAGAAAAAGCCCCGGCUAACUUCGUGCCAGCCGCCGCCGUAA
rnacentral:rRNA from 1 species